rnacentral:rRNA from 1 species
AUUGAACGCUGGCGGCGUGCCUAAUACAUGCAAGUCGAACGCAGUGGGGACGGGUGAGUAACACGUGGGUAACCUCCCAUCAGAGGAGAUAACACUUGGAAACAGGUGCUAAACUGAUACUGAUGUAUGGACCCGCGGUGCAUUAGCUAGUUGGUGAGGUAACGGCUCACCAAGGCCACGAUGAAUAGCCGACCUGAGAGGAGGAUCGGCCACACUGGGACUGAGACACGGCCCAGACUCCGACGGGAGGCAGCAGUAGGGAAUAUUGGGCAAUGGACGAAAGUCUGACCGAGCAACGCCGCGUGAGUGAAGAAGGUUUUCGGAUCGUAAAGCUCUGUUGUUAGAGAAGCGGUAUCUAACCAGAAAGCCACGGCUAACUACGUGCCAGCAGCCGCGGUAAUAC